rnacentral:rRNA from 1 species
UACGGGAGGCAGCAGUGAAYAYAWUGGCGAUARGAAACCUGAUGCAGCAACGCCGCGUGGAGGAUGACGCAUUUCGGUGUGUAAACUCCUUUUAUAAGAGAAGAAAAUGACGGUAUCUUAUGAAUAAGUCCCGGCUAACUCCGUGCCAGCAGCCGCGGUAA